rnacentral:tRNA from 2 species
GACCCUUUAGUUUAUAAAAAACGUUAAAUUGCAAGUUUAAAGAAAAAGUGUUUAUGGGUUU